CAUGUCACAAGAGGGGUAAUCUUUACACAUCCCAUGUACUGAAUAAGAAAGGGAUAAAGAGUUGGCUUACAAUCGCCACUUUACACAGUAUAUAAAUAUAUCAUACAUCAUCCAAAAUACAAUCAAGGUCUGACUACGGAACCAAAAUAAAGAAAGACAACCCCAAAUGCUAGAUCCCCGAUCGCCCCAACUGGGCUCUACUGCUGAUCAUCCAGAAAAGACACAUAGUAACGGCCUGAAUCCUCGUCGAACUCCCACUUGAGUUCGGUAGCGUCCCCUGCGCUGGCGUCAUCGGCACCUGCAUCUGUUUGGAAGUAUCUGUGAGUCACGGGGACUCAGCAAUCUCACACCCUUGCGAUCAACACUAUUUAAGCUUAAGGGUAGGAAAGGGUAGUGAGGUGGAGCUGCAGCAAGCACUAGCAUAUAUGGUGGCUAACUUACGCACAAGAGAACGAGAAGAGAAGAAAAACACGGUCGAGAAGCUAAUAGUGAUCAAGAAGUGAUCCUGAAGCUACUUACGUUCAAGCAUAACACGAGACCGUGUUCUCUUCCCGGACUCCGCCGAAAAGAGACCAUCACGGUUACACACGCGGUUGAUUCAUUUUAAUUAAGUUAAGUGUCAAGUUUUCUACAACCGGACAUUAACAAAUUCCCAUCUGCCCAUAACCAUGGGAACGACUUUCGAAAGUUCAAAACCUUGCAGGGGUGUCCCAACUUAACCCAUCACAAGCUCUCUCGGUCAACGAAGGAUAUUCCUUCUCCCAGGAAGACCCGAUCAGACUCGGAAUCCCGGUUACAAGACAUUUCGAUAAUGGUAAAAUAAGACCAGCAAAGCCGCCCGAAUGUGUCGACAAAUCCCGAUAGGAGCUGCACAUAUCUCAUUCUCAGGGCACACCGGAUUGUCCAAGCUUCCAGUAGGCCAACCCAGAGUUGCCCCUGGUGUCCACCGGUGACUGACAAGUUGGACCAACACUCAGAGGAGCACUGGCCCAGGGGUUUAAAAUAAAGAUGACCCUUGAGUCCGCGAAACCCAAGGGAAAAAGGAUUGGGUGGCAAAUGGUAAAACCAAGGUUGGGCCUUGCUGGAGGAGUUUUAUUCAAGGCGAACUGUCAAGGGGUUCCCAUAACACCCAACCGCGUAAGGAACGCAAAAUCAAGGAACAUAACACCACUAUGAUGGAAACUAGGGCGGCAAGAGUGGAACAAAACACCAGGCAUAAGGCCGAGCCUUCCACCCUUUACCAAGUAUAUAGAUGCAUUAAAGUAAACAAGAUAUAAUAAUGAUAUCCUAACAAAAUCCAUGUUCCAACAUGGAACAAACUUCAACUUCACCUGGAACUAGCAACGCUAUAAGAGGGGCUAAGCAAAGCGGUAACAUAGCCAAACAAUGGUUUGCUAGGAAAGGUGGGUUAGUGGAUUGACAUGGCAAUAUGGGAGGCAUGAUAAAGCAAGUGGUAGGUAUCGCGGCAUAUCAAAAGAGCGAACAACUAGCAAGCAAAGAUAGAAGUGAUUUCGAGGGUAUGGUCAUCUUGCCUGCAAAGUUCUUAAAGUUGAUCUUGAUCCUCGUAAGCGUUCUCAACAGGUUCCUCGAUCUCAUACUCGUCUGCCGGCUCUACCCAAGGCAAGAACACAAGCAAAGGAACCAACAAUCAAUCACGGUGCAAUGCGCAAGCAACAUGAUGCAAAACAUGGCAUGGUAUGCAAGAUGUGAUAUGCAAUGCAUAUGCAUGCUUCGGAAGGGAAAGAUUGAACCAGGCAUCAACAUGGCAAACCAAGUGUGGCGCCGGAAAGAUGAGAUGAUUUUGGUCGAAAUCGAUAUAAAGAUCACCGGAAUCGGAUGCACGGUUUGCAAAUGGCAAGCAAAACAAGAAUGGCACAAUUCUGUGAUUAACAGCACGAUGCCAUCUAGAAUGCAACAAGAAACUAAGCUACUGCACUCCAACAUAGCAACAAAACAUAUGGCAGUGAUCUACUCAAGAUGCUUGACAAAACAUGAACACUGAGCUACGGCUAAAUAACAAUAGAACAGGUUCAACAAGCAUGGCAAAAGUGUAAAAGAUAUCAGCUUCACAGCCUUGGUGAAAAUACUAACAAGCCAGGAAUAACAUCAGGAAGCAAUGUUUAGAGCAAUCUAACAACAUGCUAUAGGAACAGGUCAUAGCAAACAAAGAUAUGGAAUGAAUCUACUCAAAGCAUAGAACAAAAGUCCCUUACUGAUCAUGAGCCAAAAAGGCACAGAAAAUAUGAUGGCACCUAUGUAAACAUAGCAAGUUUUAUAAACAGAUUCAGACUUGGUGAAAUUUCAGGACAUGGCAAAAACAUAUUCAUGUUGGCACGUUAACAAGCUUGAUUAACUCAGUACAUAGCAUAACAUGGCAUGAAACAAAUCUAGCAUGGAGUAGGCAUGAAAAUGAAGCUAACCAUGUGCCAAACAACCCCAUAGCAUGUUUGCAUGAAUAUACACAUAAAAGACAAAAUAGCAACAUGAUGUAAAAUGACAUGUUCAUGAACUUUCUCAAAUGCAAAAAAACAAUGCCACCACUGGUUCGGUAGGAUUUUUAUACCCCAAAAACAUAUAUAAUAUGUUGGGGUUGUGUUCGCACAUGAACACGUCACCGUGUACCUCCAACGCCAAGGGUGAUGCACCACAGCUCACGUCGAAGGAGACCCGUCCGGAAGCGCGGUACGCGAGCAAUCCGGCAGGUGCUUUUCAGGACCCGAAACCCCACGCGCCCGGGAGGGACCCCGUCUAGACGUGCGGCGGCUAUGGGAUGCCCUAGGUCGGUUUGCCAUCCCCUAGAGCCUCGAGGAUCGCUGCCCUUCAACAUGAAGAACGAACAAAGAACGAGAGAGAAAGAACAAGGGAGGUAUGCAAAACUAGGGUAAAAAGUAGAUGUGUUUUGUGAUUGUGUGUUGUUGUUCAAUCGGCCGUCACCCCUUGGGUAUAUAAGAGGCGGAUGGACUUCCCGUGCAAGGAAAAUGUUUGGAUUCAUGUCCAAAACCCUAGUCAAAUUCGGAUUGGUUUUGUCCGAAAUUUCUAAAACUGUUCGGUUUAAACUGGUUGCACCUUGCGGGUCUUUUUUGUGGUGGUAAACGACCUCGGAUGAAAAUGAGCCCAAAAGCAAUCUUGACCGUUUCGAUGAGGCAAACAACUUUCAUGUUGAACGUUUUUUGAUCCGAGGUCAUCUUCAUGGCCAAAUUGCUCACGCAAAACAGCUAAAUAUUCACGCAGCUCAUCAGACAUACCCACACAUGUGUUUGGUUCCGGGCGUCAUAUUUUGCCCAUUGGAGGGUCGCGCUGUGCGGGCUCUAACUUUUGCAUACGACCUCGGAUUGGGAUGAUCUUUAUAUUACAAUCGAUCGUUUCGACGAGACGAAGACAAUCUGUGUAGAGACUUUUCCCAUAUGAUGCCAUCUUGGGGGCGUAAUCAGCCGAAUAGUGUUCUGAAUACAAAAUCUGAGUACUUCGAACACAACUUCGGCCUUAGAGAUGAGACCGGAUGACAAUGGCCCAAAUAUCAAAGUUUUUCCUUUUGACGAUAUGGAACUUUAUCACUUUGAGCACUUCUCCAUUUGAGGCCAUCUUAAUUAAGUUCUUCGCCGUGCCAAAAUCUGGUGUCAACACAUGCCCCCCUGUUUUUCGGCAAACUUGUGUACCGAAAAAUAACUUGCAUGAUACUUUUUCUAAGGAUGAUGUCAACACUCCAUCGGCCAUUUUAUGUGCUUAGGGCGAUAAUUUCUAUAUCGGCCAUGUUUAACUUCUUGUUUACAUCAUACCUUGGAACCGAUUACCACCAAUCGGCUUAAAAGAGAUGGGAAUGAACCCGUUCCUUGUAGCACUAAGGAAAUCAAACUCCGAGAGGUCAUGCCCUGUUAAGAAAGUAACAUCCAGAUGAUUCCAAUCCACCGAUGCAUCCGUCAAAGCAACACAAGCCGAAUUAUCCGCGUGAAUGACUUCUACCUCAUCAUCGACCCACUGUAUUAAGAAUUCAUGCAUGGUAGAUGGCACACAUUGGUUAGCAUGAACCCAAUCACGGCCUAAUAUAACAUUAUAGUUACCUUGCACCUUGGCGAUGAAGAAUGUGGUGGACAAAGUUUUGCUUCCCACAGUGAGUUCCAUGCACAUCACACCCUUGGCCUCUGUCUUUUCUUUACCCUCAAAUCCAUUAAGUACCAUAUUGGUCUUCAUCAUUGCAUCAUUAUCUAAUCCCAACUUCUUGAAGACCGAGUAGGGCAUAAGAUUUACCACAGCACCACCAUCAACGAGCAUCCUAGCAACCGGCGGUCCGUUAAUAUGACCAUUGAGGUACAAUGGCUUCAAGUGUUUCACUGAUUCUUUUGGCUUCUCGAAGAUAGUGUUCUUUGGACCAAAAUCCAGUUGAGCCACCUCCCCUUCUUCACCUAUAGCACGAAACUCGGCAGGUAAGUAAUACACCAUAUUAAUAUCCAUACCUUCCCGAACCGGCGUAGAGUCGUAAUCCACCAUCUCAUCUUCAUCCCCCAAUGUGUAUAUUGGGCUUAAAGUUUCCUCAAUUGAAGGGGAUUUUUCAGGUGGUGUGAAUGAUAUAAUAGUAGUCGCAUCAUCCUCUUUUGGUGGUGAAGGUGUUGCUGCAGCUAAUGUAGAAGCAUCUGUGUUUUGUUUUUGUUUAGGCCUCCACACUUGUUUUGUGAGUGCCAUGGGCCGAAUUUCACUUAACAAUUCGUCCCUUUGCCUCUCCUCUUCGUGCUCUACCUUCUCGUGGUUCCUCAUGCGUUGUAAUCUCCUUUUCAUGUUCUUGGUUAAACCGGGAGGACACCACUUAGGUUGCGUAUAUUUGGGAUCCCUUGGUUUGGCCCUGCUUGUGCUUGCCUCAUGAUCACUAACCAUGGAACCCUGCUGAACAAUAACAAUAUCACAAUUAGAAGUAGCCAGAUUACCAACAACCGCCUUUUUGAUCUCCUUUUGCUUGUCACAUUCUGCAAUUUCCGCAUUACGUGACUUAACACGCCACACUUUUUUGUUGGCCUUACUUGGAGAAAUUUUUGUUGGCCGAUUAGCACCAUAGCUCAAACGACCUUGUGUGGGAUAAUAAAGCCUAUUGCGAGCAGGCCUUCUAGGCGCCGCCCACCCCAUAUGAAAAGCAUAAGGAGCCAUUGGGUGCUGCCACCAUCCUCCAUUGAAGUCUCUCAUGUAAUAUGGUGCAUAGGAGGGUUGUGACAUCCAUGUCGGUGCCCAUGACCCAUAUGGCCUUGCAUAGCGUCGAAACUCUUGCUCCGGAGGCAACCUUGAACGCUUUGAAUGUGAUGACCGAUUAGAACAAGAACCGGCCGCUUGACUUGCAUAUUUGGAUAGCAACAUAUCAAAAGUUGGCCUGAUUCGCUUGCGCUUAGCUUCACUCUUUUCCCACUUGCCAACUUCUGAAUUCUUGGGCUUGAUAAAUCUAACUUGAGUAUCUUCUUGUACUUGUGGUUGCCCCCCAAGUGAAGGAUUUUUUAUGGUGAUCUUCAAUACUUCUUUGCCAUCGGGUUGCUUAUCAAGCACAACCUCUCGUCCCAAGACUUUGUCGCCCUCCUUGCCUUUCCUGGGUUCACCAAUAACAACAUUAUCUUUAUUAGCAAAUUCGGCUAUGCUAGGCCGAAUCAACAUUUUCUUUCCCUCCAAGUCCAUGGUGUUUAUCGGGAAGGGUUGUUUAUCAACUUGCAUCUCAGCAAAAUUCAAUCGUCUGUCAUUAAUGGCCGAUUGUAUCUGUCGACGAAAAACAUUGCAAUCGUUAGUAGCAUGGGAAAAUGAAUUAUGGUACUUGCAAUAAGCACGACGUUUCAGCUCGUCAAACGGCGGUAUGGUGUGCGAUAUUCUAAUAAUCUUAUCUUGCAAGAGAGCAUCAAAUAUUUUAUCACACUUUGAUAUAUCAAAAGUAAACCUCAUCUCGUCAUCAUGAUUCUUGCGACUCGGCUUAAGAGCAUUGCACAUAUAGAGUUUGGCCUUUGAGGACCAAACAAAUUCAGUAGUAUAGACAUCAACCUCAUCGUCCGAAUUAUCAUCAUUGUGUUCAACCAUAUGCAUUCUAGGACGAUCGGUUGUAGACCUAUGAACCUCUUUACUUCGACUCUCUUGGGCCAAAGCUUUUUGUAAGACUUGAUUAAUGUUAAAAAAACUCAUAACUUUCUAACCUCUAUUUAAUGUGAGUUUUCAAACCAUUAAGAACAAGAUCCGCUAAGUCUCUCUCAGUUAUCACUAAGCUAUAACACCGGUUUUUUAUAUCUCGAAAUCUCUUGACGUAAUCGGUGACCGAUUCAUCAUGUUUCUGCCUAACCGAUGUAAGAUGUGACAACUUUAGCUCAUUAUCGCCGCUAUAAAAGUGAUCAUGAAACUUUUGCUCUAAUUGAGACCAUAAGAGAAUUGAGCCAUGUGGUAAAGCGGCAAACCAUGAAAAUGCGGUACCAGUUAAAGAUAAUGGAAAUAAACACACUUUCAAUUCUUCUAUGGAACCUGCUUCACCAAUUGCGCUAGAUACUGACUAACAUGCUCCCAAGUUGUUUUCGUACCCUCACCACUAAAUUUAACAAAAUCAGGAACCUUAUAACCUUGAGGGUAAGAAAUUGCAUCGAAGUGUUCAGGAUAAGGCUUUUGGUACACACGACUCUUUACUUCCGGCUCGUUUCCGAAAGUUUCUAGAAACAUCUUAUGCAAAUCCUCCCUUAAUUUAGCUAAAAUUGGAUCUGAGGUAGAUGAAGAUGUUUGUGGUAAUGACAUAGGAGCAACCUUAGUACUAGCUAUUGGUGCAACUUGUGGGAUGGGCGCCGAACCAUAAUUCGAUGGAAGACCAAACAUGCUUGCGCUUAUGGGUGGUGUGACAAAGUGAUUCGGCGUAGACGCCGAAUUGGACACACUCAUAAUAGGAUUAGGGUGUGUAGGUGCAGCCACAAGCUGGUUGGUUUGAGUAGGGUAAAAAUUCAACGGCAUAUUAUAUUGUGGUUGCAUAGGUGGUGCCGAUGAAAUAGGUAAAAUUGGAGUAGGGUUUUCAGAUAUACGAACAGUACCACUAGGUGAUGGAGGGAUAUUUUUCUGAGCAUUAGCACUAGCCACAAAAAAAUUGUAAGCCAUCACAUUACCCUUACUAACAAGACUUUCAAUCACAGCCACUUGCUCUGGAGAAAAAACUUUACUCACAGUGAUUACAUCUUGUUCGUCGAUGAGGGCAGGAAGAUUGACGUUUCCAACCGGAGCGAUGUUGCCUUGACGGUCCUUCUUGAAACUUGAAAGAAACGCUUCCAAAUCCUCCUCCUUGCGCUUCUUCUUGAGCGCCUCAAAAGCCUCUUCAUGCUGCUUUUUGCGUGCUUCAUAGGCUUGGCGAUGUUCAUCCGAUAGUUCAUCAAGAUCGGGCUUAAUGAUGUUAUCGGCGUCAACUUCUGAGGGCUUGGGGAGUUUAGACAUGGUUGAUGAUGAUUCUUGAUCUUUCAUCCCCAAUGGAGUCACCAAAAAGUGUGUUCGCACACGAACACGUCACCGUGUACCUCCAACGCCGAGGGUGAUCCACCGCAGCUCACGUCGAAGGAGACCCGUCCGGAAGCGCGGUACGCAAGCAAUCCGGCAGGUGCUUUUUAGGACCCGAAACCCCACGCGCCCGGGAGGGACCCCGUCUGGACGUCCGGCGGCUAUGGGCUGCCAUAGGUCGGUUCGCCCACCCCUAGAGCCUCGAGGAUCGCUGCCCUUCAACACGAAGAACGAACGAAGAACGAGAGAGAAAGAACAAGGGAGGUAUGUAAAACUAGGGUAAAAAGUAGAUGUGUUUUACGAUUGUGUGUUGUUGUUCAAUCGGCCGUCACCCCUUGGGUAUAUAAGAGGCGGCUGGAUUUCCCGUGCAAGGAAAAAGUUUGGAUUCACGUCCAAAACCCUAGUCAAAUUUGGAUUGGUUUUGUCCGAACUUUCCAAAACUGUUCGGUUUAAACUAGUUGCACGUUGCGGGUCUUUUUUCUGGUGGUAAACGACUUCGGAUGAAAAUGAGCCUAAAAGCAAUCUUGACCAUUUCGACAAGGCAAACAACUUUCAUGAUGAUCGUUUUUUUAUCUGAGGUCAUCUUCAUGGCCAAAUUGCUUGCGCAAAACAGCUAAAUAUUCACGCAGCUCAUCAGACAUGCCCACACAUGUGUCUGGUUCCAGGCGUCAUAUUUUGCCCAUUGGAGGGUCGCGCUGUGCGGGCUCUAACUUUUGCAUACAACCUCGGAUUGCGAUGAUCUUUAUAUUAAAAUCGAUCGUUUCGACAAGGCAAAGACAAUCCGUAUAGAAACGUUUCCCAUAUGAGGCCAUCUUGGGGGCGUAAUCAGCCGAAUAGUGUUCUGAAUACAAAAUCUGAGUACUUCCAACACAACUUCGGGCUUAGAGAUGAGACCGGAUGACUAUGGCCCAAAUAUCAAAGUUUUUCCUUUUGACGAUACAGAACUUUCUCACUUUGAGCACUUCUCCAUUUAAGGCCAUCCUAAUUAAGUUCUUCGUCGUGCCAAUCAUCACAAGUGCAAUAUGUUAAAAACUGCCCUAAAUAGAAUAUGACAGAAAUAGCAUUUUGCUUAGUUGGAAACGUCCAAAAAUGGACUUGCCUGAAAUGGAAAUGACAUCUUUCCAGAAAUGGAAAUUAGCUGGGGUGUAAAAGAAAAAGGAAAACAGGGGUUUACUAGGGGAUGGCCAGUGGGCCUAGGUGCGUGUGUGACUGACCAAAGGGGUCUACCUGUCAGUGUCACCAAAGAAAAUUCCAAAAAGGUAGCCUGCCUAGGCUCACACAUGUGUCUGGUUCCAGGCGUCAUAUUUUGCCCAUUGGAGGGUCGCGCUGUGCGGGCUCUAACUUUUGCAUACAACCUCGGAUUGCGAUGAUCUUUAUAUUAAAAUCGAUCGUUUCGACAAGGCAAAGACAAUCCGUAUAGAAACGUUUCCCAUAUGAGGCCAUCUUGGGGGCGUAAUCAGCCGAAUAGUGUUCUGAAUACAAAAUCUGAGUACUUCCAACACAACUUCGGGCUUAGAGAUGAGACCGGAUGACUAUGGCCCAAAUAUCAAAGUUUUUCCUUUUGACGAUACAGAACUUUCUCACUUUGAGCACUUCUCCAUUUAAGGCCAUCCUAAUUAAGUUCUUCGUCGUGCCAAUCAUCACAAGUGCAAUAUGUUAAAAACUGCCCUAAAUAGAAUAUGACAGAAAUAGCAUUUUGCUUAGUUGGAAACGUCCAAAAAUGGACUUGCCUGAAAUGGAAAUGACAUCUUUCCAGAAAUGGAAAUUAGCUGGGGUGUAAAAGAAAAAGGAAAACAGGGGUUUACUAGGGGAUGGCCAGUGGGCCUAGGUGCGUGUGUGACUGACCAAAGGGGUCUACCUGUCAGUGUCACCAAAGAAAAUUCCAAAAAGGUAGCCUGCCUAGGAUUCGAACCCGCGACCUCCUGCAUGAGAGCGCGCUGGAACAACCAGUGGGCUACGAGGUCGCUUGUGAACACGUAGGGGCGCGUCUCUCUUUGAACAGAGAGAGGCCCGGUCCUGGGAAUCACCAUGAGCGCGCAGCGAAGUUCUGGCGUUGACGGCAAGCAAAGGCGGCGACAUCUGCAGCUGGAGAGCACCUCGGCGGGCGUGCGGGAUGCUGUGAGAGCGCGGAAGCGCGUGGCUGCUGCUCGUGGUGUCGUGCGUGCACGUGUGCUCGGGUACGAGCGGAACAGGGAUGGUGCCGGGCAUAGCGAGCGGCAGAGGAGCUCGUCGGAGCUGCGGCAGGCUUGAAGGGUGCGCGCGAGACGCGAACGUGUGGCGCGAGCGAGCUGUGGGAGCGCGACAGAGGGGAUCAAGAGCGGGGACACACAGGCAUGCUACGGCAGCAACAACAUCUUCAAAACAACAAGAAAAAAAUGCAGACUUUGCCGGAGCACCGGGAGCACGAUGAAGGCACGACCCUAGCAACUCCUACGGGGAUCGUUUGGCGAAAAUAAAGAGCAGGGAGUGAGUUGGGUAUACCUAGUAUACCUAUGGCAAGAAUAUACGGCCGGGGAUGCGGUAGAUCGACGGCGGGAGACGAAGAACUCUGGAAGACUUGAUGUCCGUGAAGAAGAGGAAGAAGAUGGGACGAUGAGGUCAAUCCAGGGGCCGUGGCGUUGCGUGCGUCGUGGUAGGAGACGAAGAGGUACUCGGCGAACCCUCCCACGGUAGCUGGAGAGGCUGGACGCGGUCAGAGAGACUACCCCGAGCUCGAGCACGAGCUCGGCCGGAGCAUGGUGGGCAGGGCGACGGCGUGGUGUGGCUAGCCUUACCUGGCGGCGGCGAGGGAAGGAGAGGAG
rnacentral:lncRNA from 1 species